rnacentral:rRNA from 1 species
CCUACGGGUGGCUGCAGUGGGGAAUAUUGCACAAUGGGCGCAAGCCUGAUGCAGCCAUGCCGCGUGUGUGAAGAAGGCCUUCGGGUUGUAAAGCACUUUCAGCGGGGAGGAAGGCGUUAAGGUUAAUAACCUUGUCGAUUGACGUUACCCGCAGAAGAAGCACCGGCUAACUCCGUGCCAGCAGCCGCGGUAAUACGGAGGGUGCAAGCGUUAAUCGGAAUUACUGGGCGUAAAGCGCACGCAGGGGGUCUGUCAAGUCGGAUGUGAAAUCCCCGGGCUCAACCUGGGAACUGCAUUCGAAACUGGCAGGCUAGAGUCUUGUAGAGGGGGGUAGAAUUCCAGGUGUAGCGGUGAAAUGCGUAGAGAUCUGGAGGAAUACCGGUGGCGAAGGCGGCCCCCUGGACAAAGACUGACGCUCAGGUGCGAAAGCGUGGGGAGCAAACAGGAUUAGAUACCCCUGUAGUC